UACGUAGGGUGCGAGCGUUGUCCGGAUUUAUUGGGCGUAAAGAGCUCGUAGGCGGUUUGUCGCGUCGGCCGUGAAAUCUCCACGCUUAACGUGGAGCGUGCGGUCGAUACGGGCAGACUUGAGUUCGGUAGGGGAGACUGGAAUUCCUGGUGUAGCGGUGAAAUGCGCAGAUAUCAGGAGGAACCCCGGUGGCGAAGGCGGGUCUCUGGGCCGAUACUGACGCUGAGGAGCGAAAGCGUGGGGAGCGAACAGG
rnacentral:rRNA from 1 species